CGCGAGAGCAAGCGGACCUCAUAAAGUAUGUCGUAGUCCGGAUUGGAGUCUGCAACUCGCCUCCAUGAAGUCGGAAUCGCUAGAAAUCGUAGAUCAGAAUGCUACGGUGAAUACGUUCCCGGGCCUUGUACACACCGCCCGUCACACCAUGGGAGUGGGUUGCAAAAGAAGUAGGUAGCUUAACCUUCGGGAGGGCGCUUACCACUUUGUGAUUCAUGACUGGGGUGAAGUCGUAACAAGGUAACCGUUGGGGAACCUGCGGUUGGAUCACCUCCUUACCUUAAAGAA
rnacentral:rRNA from 1 species